GCCCGGUUAGUUUAGUUGGUUAGAACGCCACAUCUUUUCAUCGUGGAAACGCGGGUUCAAUUCCUGCACUGGGCC
rnacentral:tRNA from 1 species